UACGGGGGGAGCAAGCGUUGUUCGGAUUUACUGGGCGUAAAGCGCAUGUAGGCGGUUGGGCAAGUGGCGUGUGAAAGCUCCCGGCUAAACUGGGAGACGACAGGUCAGACUGCCGGACUGGAGUCCGAUAGAGGAGCGUAGAAUUCCGGGUGUAGCGGUGAAAUGUGUAGAGAUCCGGAGGAAUACCAGUGGCGCAGGCGGCGACCUGGGUCGAUACUGACGCUGAUGCGCGAAAGCGUGGGGAGCAAACAGG
rnacentral:rRNA from 1 species